rnacentral:rRNA from 1 species
GUGGGGAAUCUUCCACAAUGGACGAAAGUCUGAUGGAGCAACGCCGCGUGAGUGAAGAAGGGUUUCGGCUCGUAAAGCUCUGUUGUCGGGGACGAAUGUGCAGUAUUUGAAUAAAGUACUGCAAUGACGGUACCUGACGAGGAAGCCACGGCUAACUACGUGCCAGCAGCCGCGGUAAUACGUAGGUGGCAAGCGUUGUCCGGAAUUAUUGGGCGUAAAGGGAGCGCAGGCGGGAAGGUAAGUCGGUCUUAAAAGUGCGGGGCUCAACCCCGUGAUGGGAUCGAAACUAUCUAUCCGGAGUGCAGGAGAGGAAAGUGGAAUUCCUAGUGUAGCGGUGAAAUGCGUAGAUAUUAGGAGGAACACCAGUGGCGAAGGCGACUUUCUGGACUGUAACUGACGCUGAGGCUCGAAAGCCAGGGGAGCGAACGGGAUUAGAAACCCGAGUAGUCC